UGGGGAAUAUUGGGCAAUGGGCGAAAGCCUGACCCAGCAACGCCGCGUGAAGGAAGGAGGUCUUCGGAUUGUAAACUUUUGUCUUAUGGGACGAUAAUGACGGUACCAUAGGAGGAAGCCACGACUAACUACGUGCCAGCAGUCGCGGUAAUACGUAGGUGGCAAGCGUUAUCCGGAAUUAUUGGGUGUAAAGGGUGCGUAGGCGGGAUGUAAAGUCAGAUGUGAAAUACCGUAGCUUAACUGCGGAGCUGCAUUUGAACUUACGUUCUUGAGUGAAGUAGAGGUAAGCGGAAUUCCUAGUGUAGCGGUGAAAUGCGUAGAUAUUAGGAGGAACACCGG
rnacentral:rRNA from 1 species